rnacentral:rRNA from 1 species
UGGGGAAUUUUGGACAAUGGGCGAAAGCCUGAUCCAGCAAUGCCGCGUGUGUGAAGAAGGCCUUCGGGUUGUAAAGCACUUUUGUCCGGAAAGAAAUCCUCUGGGUUAAUACCUCGGGGGGAUGACGGUACCGGAAGAAUAAGCACCGGCUAACUACGUGCCAGCAGCCGCGGUAAUACGUAGGGUGCAAGCGUUAAUCGGAAUUACUGGGCGUAAAGCGUGCGCAGGCGGUUUUGUAAGACGGAUGUGAAAUCCCCGGGCUUAACUUGGGAACUGCAUUCGUGACUGCAAGGCUAGAGUAUGGCAGAGGGGGGUAGAAUUCCACGUGUAGCAGUGAAAUGCGUAGAGAUGUGGAGGAAUACCGAUGGCGAAGGCAGCCCCCUGGGCCAAUACUGACGCUCAUGCACGAAAGCGUGGGGAGCAAACAGGAUUAGAUACCCUGGUAGUCCACGCCCUAAAACGAUGUCAACUAGUUGUUGGGGAUUCAUUUCCUUAGUAACGUAGCUAACGCGUGAAGUUGACCGCCUGGGGAGUACGGUCGCAAGAUUAAAACUCAAAGGAAUUGACGGGGUCAUAGCUGUUUCCU